rnacentral:tRNA from 1 species
GCGAAAUAGCUCAGUUAGCAGAGCGUUAGACUAGACAUCGAAAGGUCCCUGGUUCGAUUCCGGGAUUCGGCA